AGCUGGAGCUUGCUCCGGCCGAUUAGUGGCGAACGGGUGAGUAACACGUGAGCAAUCUGCCCUUGACUCUGGGAUAACUGCGGGAAACUGUAGCUAAUACCGGAUACUUUCCUCGCUGGGCAUCCAGCGGGGAAGAAAGAAUUUCGGUCAAGGAUGAGCUCGCGGCCUAUCAGCUAGUUGGUGAGGUAAUGGCUCACCAAGGCGACGACGGGUAGCCGGCCUGAGAGGGUGACCGGCCACACUGGAACUGAGACACGGUCCAGACUCCUACGGGAGGCAGCAGUGGGGAAUAUUGCACAAUGGGCGAAAGCCUGAUGCAGCAACGCCGCGUGAGGGAUGAAGGCCUUCGGGUUGUAAACCUCUUUUAGCAGGGAAGAAGCGAAAGUGACGGUACCUGCAGAAAAAGCACCGGCUAACUACGUGCCAGCAGCCGCGGUAAUACGUAGGGUGCAAGCGUUGUCCGGAAUUAUUGGGCGUAAAGAGCUCGUAGGCGGUUUGUCACGUCUGCUGUGAAAAUCCGAGGCUCAACCUCGGACUUGCAGUGGGUACGGGCAGGCUAGAGUGCGGUAGGGGAGAAGGGAAUUCCUGGUGUAGCGGUGGAAUGCGCAGAUAUCAGGAGGAACACCAAUGGCGAAGGCACUUCUCUGGGCCGUAACUGACGCUGAGGAGCGAAAGCGUGGGGAGCGAACAGGAUUAGAUACCCUGGUAGUUCACGCCGUAAACGGUGG
rnacentral:rRNA from 1 species